GUGGUUCGUUAGGGAUGGUAUUGUGAACCUUGAUUUGCAACAGGGUAGCUACCGUGCUGAAGAUAGCCAGACAGCAUGGCUGCAGGGAAUUGACAGACAGACUAGAUUAUAGAAUAUUAAGGGAGGUAUUAGAUUUUAUUGUUUUUGUCUUAAAGAUACAUGUUAUCUUUAAGUAGUGGUUGCUUAGGCCCUUUAUCUUUCCUAACAUAAUGUGAACACCUAACGGAUUAGACUCUUUCUAUUCCCUGAUUUCCUAAAACAAUACUACUGCCUAUAUAACACCCCUGUUCUCCCUUAGGCCUGGUUUACUUGUUGCCAGCCUUCUUUCUAUUCCCUGAUUUCCUAAAACAAUUCUACUGCCUAUAGAACACCCCUGUUCUCCCUUAGGCCCGGUUUCCUUGUUGCCAGCCCACAACAUUACAAUCCUCCAGGAUAGGCAUCUUGUUCUCAAGCUGCGGGACGGCGGCCAUGGUUACAGCCCUAGGUUACCCCAUUUGGAAGAGACUUGGCUGCAUGGAUGCUUCAAGUCGUGACAUAUACACUUGCUGGACACCAUGCCAUACACACUCCUUUCCUUGCUGGACUACAUGUCAAACUCAGACAAUAAUUCUGAGUUUGUGUGAGUCCUGAAUUCUCUUGCACGUAUAAAUAAGGAAUUGCGCAUCCCUGAAAGUUGCGACUCUCUUAACAUGUCUGUACCUCUGCAAGAGAAACACAUUUAUAAAUAUCAGAAUUCAAUCUGAGUUCAUUUGGUUUGUCAUAUGAAAUAAUCUUUCCAAGUUAACAUUGCGUGAGCAAGUAAAAGGAUGCGCAGUUGCUCAAACAGUGGCUUAUCCGGGAGAAUCCACAAAUAUUCUUUAUUUCCUUUAAUACAGGCCCUCGUUUUUAUUCCACUGUUCUUUUUUUCUAAUGAUGAAAGACUAAUGUCUUCCUUCAUAACUUUUCCCUUUUUUUUGCCCAGCUGUCAAACACACAUAAUUAAAUCCAAAGUCCUUUUCUAUGUCUCCUUUCCUUUCGUGGUUUUGCUUUCCAUCAUUAACUUGCUCUAGUCUUUGACUAUCUCCUGGAUCAAUCACGAACUGAUGUGCACGAUUGUUUCAUUUAGCCUGCCGCACACGAAUCUGGCUCCAAUUCUUCUGUCUGUCAUUGUUUUCUUACCUCCUUCCUCUGCAGCUCGUGCUCCUUUCCAGGCCCCCCUUGCUUACUGGCACUACAUGUGGCGUGUACAUGCCCAUAGCUUUGCAAUCACGUGCUGCAGCUGCCACAACUUUUUGCUUCACCUCCAUCAUUGAAUCAAGCUCCUACGCCAUGGAGAGCCUCACAUCCACGUUUGGCUGCACCGACUCUGCCUCCUAUUGCUCCUCCUUUGUGACUUCUUUCACGUGUUCUUCUCCUUCCUCCAGGGUUCGCACUCGUGGCACACUCAUGAUAGCCAGAAAAUCUUGGCGAAAAGCAGCAAUCCUCAAUUUGUUAUUUUGCUUACAAAUAUCAGUGCUCAUGGCUUUCACCAAGCUGGCCAGGUUGCCCUGAUUUUUGUCUUGCACUUUGGAAGCCAUGGCGAUCAGCUCAUAACUACCAUGCUGAAGAUAGCCAGAUUGCUGUGGGGAACUAGAUACACAUAUACUAGAUUGGUUCUUUCUUCUUUUCUUAAACCUUUCCAGGAUACAUGACAUCCUUAUAUACUGAAUGCUUAAAGUGGUGCCUAAAGUACCUCUAAUCUCCCUCAGUUCAGAACCCCUUCUGCUACAGCAGAUAUCCUCCGUACGUUGCGGCUACAGGACCAUGUAGAAAGUGUAAAUGUUGAUGCGCUUACAUGUUACAGAUGAGUUUUGUGAAACUGAUAUGCAUGGUGUGCUUACCUUGAUUUAACUCAGUAGUAUGGUCAUGAAAAAAAUCCGUGCAAUAAAACUAUAGUUAUGGUAGAUUUAUAAAACUGAUAUGCAUAGAGUCCAAAAUUAAUUUACAGUUGCUUGUUUUCAAACUUCAAUAAAACUAUAGUUAUGGUAGAUUUAGAGCGUAAGCGUGUAAAACUUGUUUCAUUAAAUGAUAUCCUAAAUCCAAAUUAUUGCUUGCUUAUUUAGACAUGAUUAGAUUUCAUAAACUUUGGGUUUUCAGAAUCUUGACUUAUGAGGACAUGAAUAUGAACUCUUGCUUUUGUUACAAGCUACAACAGUUUUUGAAGUCACACUCUGUUGGGUUAAUGAACUGAAUGUGCCUUUUUUUUUUGCAAUGCAUGUCCUGGACAUUUAUUCAGGAAUUUGGUCGGAAAAUAGAUAAUAUGCCUCCAAUCUUACUAUCUGUAGUGUUCUAAACUUAAUAUUUUUAUAUUUCUUAGAUAUUAGUUGAUCAAAUGCAACAGCCUUUUGUUUUGUUAUAUGAUUCUGAAGUUUUUCCAAAUAUAUGUCGUCUAAUUUUAACGUUUGUUGCAGCUCACUUAUGCACCAAGAAUACACACUGCAUUUUCCGGGCCUGCAGUUUAUUCAAGGUUUAAAGAUGAUCGUUUACAUGCAUGCAAGGAGGAUGCCAAGUUUACCUGGGUCAGAGCACUUGAUUUUACACCUAACCAAUCUUUUGGGAAGUGUUCCACUCUUGUCAUAAAACUGGAUGAAGAUGCACUCAUGUCGUAUAUUCUCAAUACCUUACCUUUCUCGGGAGUGCUAGGGGAAUUGGCCAUUUCUUCGAUGGAUGUUGUUGGACCCUCGUCCAAAGCGGUUCCCCUUGUUGACUGCCCGCAUGGCUGUUCAGUAUCUUAUGAAGUUCUUUUUCGACUCAACUCUCUUGUUCACAUGGGGAAGAUAGUUGCAAAACAUGUAAAUGCUAAGCUGUUUGCAUUUCUUGAGCAAGUACCACUUCAUAUUUCAAGGAGGAUUUUCGAGAAAAUGAGCAAGUUAGAGUCUACGUGCUACGAACCUCUGCAAUUCAUCGAGUCUGAACUAAAGCUAACCCACAACGCUUUGCUGUCCAGUAAGAGGGAAGGUGAAGGAAAAUUAAUGAGGUGUUACAGAAUUCACAUUACUCCGUCAAAAAUAUACUGCUUGGGACCUGAGGAAGAAGCUUCAAAUUAUGUGGUUAAGCAUCAUUCUGAGUAUGCUUCUGAUUUUGUUAGAGUUACUUUUGUUGACGAAGACUGGAGUAAGCUUAGUGUUAAUGCAAUCUCAGCUAGAAUUGAACAAGGGUUCUUUUCUCAACCCUUCAAAACUGGCCUGUAUUACCGCAUUUUAUCCAUUCUUAAAGAAGGAUUUAUCAUUGGCCCAAAGAAGUUUGAAUUCUUGGCCUUCUCUGCAAGUCAACUUCGUGAAGGUUCUGUUUGGAUGUUUGCUUCUAAUGAUUCGUUGAAUGCAGAGAGUAUAAGAAGGUGGAUGGGCCACUUUGAAGAAAUUCGUUCAGUGUCGAAGUGUGCGGCUAGAAUGGGCCAGCUGUUCAGUUCUUCCAGGCAAACGGUUGAAGUCCGACCAUGGGAUGUGGAAGAGAUUCCAGAUAUUGAAGUCACAACUAAUAACACAAAAUACAUAUUUUCUGAUGGUAUUGGGAAGAUGUCUGUGAGAUUUGCCAGAGAAAUUGCUUACCGAAUUGGACUAGAUCAUACUAACCCUCCUUCAGCUUUUCAAAUAAGGUUUGGUGGCUACAAAGGAGUGAUUGCUGUUGACCCUUCUUCCUUUCGCAAUCUUUCUCUGCGACCUAGUAUGAGGAAAUUUGAAUCAGAUUGCAGGAUGCUUAACAUUACAAGUUGGAGCAAGUCCCAGCCAUGCUACGUGAAUCGAGAAAUUAUCUCUCUCCUUUCAACUUUGGGGAUAAGAGAUGAGGUAUUUGAGUUAAUGCAACAAGAUGAUAUGCGUGAAUUAGAUGAAAUGCUAACCAACAAAGAAGUUGCUUUGUCAGUCCUGGGGAAAAUUGGCAGUGCCGAAACUAAGACAGCAGCGGAUAUGUUGCUACAAGGUUAUGAACCAAUUUCCGAGCCAUACCUGUUGAUGAUUCUCAAAGCCCAUCAGGAUAAUAGGUUGACUGACAUAAGAUCUAAAUUUAAGAUUCAUGUCCCAAAAGGCCGUGUUCUUCUUGGUUGUUUGGAUGAGACAGGUAAAUUAAAAUAUGGUCAAGUUUACAUCAGAAUUACAAAGAACAACAAAGAGCAGAAAGAGAAUGAACAACCUUAUUUUUCUGAAGAUGAUGGGAAAACAGUCACUCUUGUUGGAAAAGUUGCAGUCUCGAAAAAUCCCU
rnacentral:lncRNA from 1 species